rnacentral:rRNA from 1 species
AGAGUUUGAUCCUGGCUCAGGACGAACGCUGGCGGCGUGCCUAAUACAUGCAAGUCGAGCGAGCUUGCCUAGAUGAUUUUAGUGCUUGCACUAAAUGAAACUAGAUACAAGCGAGCGGCGGACGGGUGAGUAACACGUGGGUAACCUGCCCAAGAGACUGGGAUAACACCUGGAAACAGAUGCUAAUACCGGAUAACAACACUAGACGCAUGUCUAGAGUUUGAAAGAUGGUUCUGCUAUCACUCUUGGAUGGACCUGCGGUGCAUUAGCUAGUUGGUAAGGUAACGGCUUACCAAGGCAAUGAUGCAUAGCCGAGUUGAGAGACUGAUCGGCCACAUUGGGACUGAGACACGGCCCAAACUCCUACGGGAGGCAGCAGUAGGGAAUCUUCCGCAAUGGACGAAAGUCUGACGGAGCAACGCCGCGUGAGUGAAGAAGGGUUUCGGCUCGUAAAGCUCUGUUGGUAGUGAAGAAAGAUAGAGGUAGUAACUGGCCUUUAUUUGACGGUAAUUACUUAGAAAGUCACGGCUAACUACGUGCCAGCAGCCGCGGUAAUACGUAGGUGGCAAGCGUUGUCCGGAUUUAUUGGGCGUAAAGCGAGUGCAGGCGGUUCAAUAAGUCUGAUGUGAAAGCCUUCGGCUCAACCGGAGAAUUGCAUCAGAAACUGUUGAACUUGAGUGCAGAAGAGGAGAGUGGAACUCCAUGUGUAGCGGUGGAAUGCGUAGAUAUAUGGAAGAACACCAGUGGCGAAGGCGGCUCUCUGGUCUGCAACUGACGCUGAGGCUCGAAAGCAUGGGUAGCGAACAGGAUUAGAUACCCUGGUAGUCCACGCCGUAAACGAUGAGUGCUAAGUGUUGGGAGGUUUCCGCCUCUCAGUGCUGCAGCUAACGCGGUGGAGCAUGUGGUUUAAUUCGAAGCAACGCGAAGAACCUUACCAGGUCUUGACAUCCAGUGCAAACCUAAGAGAUUAGGUGUUCCCUUCGGGGACGCUGAGACAGGUGGUGCAUGGCUGUCGUCAGCUCGUGUCGUGAGAUGUUGGGUUAAGUCCCGCAACGAGCGCAACCCUUGUCAUUAGUUGCCAUCAUUAAGUUGGGCACUCUAAUGAGACUGCCGGUGACAAACCGGAGGAAGGUGGGGAUGACGUCAAGUCAUCAUGCCCCUUAUGACCUGGGCUACACACGUGCUACAAUGGACGGUACAACGAGAAGCGAACCUGCGAAGGCAAGCGGAUCUCUUAAAGCCGUUCUCAGUUCGGACUGUAGGCUGCAACUCGCCUACACGAAGCUGGAAUCUCUAGUAAUCGCGGAUCAGCACGCCGCGGUGAAUACGUUCCCGCGCCUUGUACACACCGCCCGUCAC